GUAGGUGGCAAGCGUUGUCCGGAAUUAUUGGGCGUGAAGCGCGCGCAGGUGGUUCUUUAAGUCUGAUGUGGAAGCCCCCGGCUCAACCGGGGAGGGUCAUUGGAAACUGGGGAACUUGAGUGCAGGAGAGGAAAGUGGAAUUCCACGUGUAGCGGUGAAAUGCGUAGAUAUGUGGAGGAACACCAGUGGCGAAGGCGACUUUCUGGCCUGUAACUGACACUGAGGCGCGAAAGCGUGGGGAGCAAACAGGGAUUAGAUACCCUGGUAGUCCACGCCGUAAACGAUGAGUGCUAAGUGUUGGGGGGGUUUCCGCCCCCUCAGUGCUGCAGCUAACGCAUUAAGCACUCCGCCUGGGAUACGGUCGCAAGACUG
rnacentral:rRNA from 1 species